CGUGUGCUGUUCCGAGCUGCCAGGGAUCCUUGAAGGCACUGGCCUGUGAAGGCCCACGCACCACCACCUGGAUGCGAAGGCAUGUGAAGGCCCUGGCCUGUGAAGGCCCUCGCACCAGCACCUGUAUGCGAGGGCCUGUGAAGUCGUGUAAAAGUAGUAGAAAAAGUUGAGUACCUUUCUACCGUUUCUACUCUCUGCUCCUUCCAUGCGU